UACAGAGGUGGCAAGCGUUGUUCGGAAUUACUGGGCGUAAAGGGCUCGUAGGCGGCCAACUAAGUCAGACGUGAAAUCCCUCGGCUUAACCGGGGAACUGCGUCUGAUACUGGAUGGCUUGAAUCCGGGAGAGGGAUGCGGAAUUCCAGGUGUAGCGGUGAAAUGCGUAGAUAUCUGGAGGAACACCGGUGGCGAAGGCGGCAUCCUGGACCGGCAUUGACGCUGAGGAGCGAAAGCCAGGGGAGCAAACGGG
rnacentral:rRNA from 1 species